GUGGAUUAGAUACCCUGGUAGUCCACGCCCUAAACGAUGUCAACUGGUUGUUGGGAAUUUAUUUUCUCAGUAACGAAGCUAACGCGUGAAGUUGACCGCCUGGGGAGUACGGCCGCAAGGUUAAAACUCAAAGGAAUUGACGGGGACCCGCACAAGCGGUGGAUGAUGUUCUUUAAUUCGAUGCAACGCGAAAAACCUUACCCACCUUUGACAUGUACGGAAUCCUUUAGAGAUAGAGGAGUGCUCGAAAGAGAGCCGUAACACAGGUGCUGCACGGUCGUCGCCAACU
rnacentral:rRNA from 1 species